GUUGACAGCUUGUUAAAAUGUCAUGUCUUCUCUUUCAUUAGUAUGAAAAAAAGAGAGGUGACGUGAUACUAAUUUCAGUCUUAACUUUAACAGUCUUU